rnacentral:rRNA from 1 species
GACGAACGCUGGCGGCGUGCUUAACACAUGCAAGUCGAACGGAAAGGCCCUGCUUGCAGGGUACUCGAGUGGCGAACGGGUGAGUAACACGUGGGUGAUCUGCCCUGCACUUCGGGAUAAGCCUGGGAAACUGGGUCUAAUACCGGAUAGGAGCCAUUUUUAGUGUGAUGGUUGGAAAGUUUUUUCGGUGUAGGAUGAGCUCGCGGCCUAUCAGCUUGUUGGUGGGGUAAUGGCCUACCAAGGCGGCGACGGGUAGCCGGCCUGAGAGGGUGGACGGCCACAUUGGGACUGAGAUACGGCCCAGACGCCGACGGGAGGCAGCAGGGGGGAAUAUUGCACAAGGGGCGCAAGCCUGAUGCAGCGACGCCGCGGGGGGGAUGACGGCCUUCGGGUUGUAAACUCAUUUCGCUAGGGACGAAGCGUUUUGUGACGGUACCUAGAGAAGAAGCACCGGCUAACUACGUG